rnacentral:tRNA from 1 species
CAGUAAAUAGUUUAAAUAGAACUUUAAUUUUGGAGAUUAAGAGUAGGAAAAUUAUUUCUUUUACUGA